GAUGAACGCUGGCGGCGUGCCUAAUACAUGCAAGUCGAGCGAACGGACGAGAAGCUUGCUUCUCUGAUGUUAGCGGCGGACGGGUGAGUAACACGUGGAUAACCUACCUAUAAGACUGGGAUAACUUCGGGAAACCGGAGCUAAUACCGGAUAAUAUUUUGAACCGCAUGGUUCAAAAGUGAAAGACGGUCUUGCUGUCACUUAUAGAUGGAUCCGCGCUGCAUUAGCUAGUUGGUAAGGUAACGGCUUACCAAGGCAACGAUGCAUAGCCGACCUGAGAGGGUGAUCGGCCACACUGGAACUGAGACACGGUCCAGACUCCUACGGGAGGCAGCAGUAGGGAAUCUUCCGCAAUGGGCGAAAGCCUGACGGAGCAACGCCGCGUGAGUGAUGAAGGUCUUCGGAUCGUAAAACUCUGUUAUUAGGGAAGAACAUAUGUGUAAGUAACUGUGCACAUCUUGACGGUACCUAAUCAGAAAGCCACGGCUAACUACGUGCCAGCAGCCGCGGUAAUACGUAGGUGGCAAGCGUUAUCCGGAAUUAUUGGGCGUAAAGCGCGCGUAGGCGGUUUUUUAAGUCUAAUGUGAAAGCCCACGGCUCAACCGUGGAGGGUCAUUGGAAACUGGAAAACUUGAGUGCAGAAGAGGAAAGUGGAAUUCCAUGUGUAGCGGUGAAAUGCGCAGAGAUAUGGAGGAACACCAGUGGCGAAGGCGACUUUCUGGUCUGUAACUGACGCUGAUGUGCGAAAGCGUGGGGAUCAAACAGGAUUAGAUACCCUGGUAGUCCACGCCGUAAACGAUGAGUGCUAAGUGUUAGGGGGUUUCCGCCCCUUAGUGCUGCAGCUAACGCAUUAAGCACUCCGCCUGGGGAGUACGACCGCAAGGUUGAAACUCAAAGGAAUUGACGGGGACCCGCACAAGCGGUGGAGCAUGCGGUUUAAUUCGAAGCAACGCGAAGAACCUUACCAAAUCUUGACAUCCUUUGACAACUCUAGAGAUAGAGCCUUCCCCUUCGGGGGACAAAGUGACAGGUGGUGCAUGGUUGUCGUCAGCUCGUGUCGUGAGAUGUUGGGUUAAGUCCCGCAACGAGCGCAACCCUUAAGCUUAGUUGCCAUCAUUAAGUUGGGCACUCUAAGUUGACUGCCGGUGACAAACCGGAGGAAGGUGGGGAUGACGUCAAAUCAUCAUGCCCCUUAUGAUUUGGGCUACACACGUGCUACAAUGGACAAUACAAAGGGCAGCGAAACCGCGAGGUCAAGCAAAUCCCAUAAAGUUGUUCUCAGUUCGGAUUGUAGUCUGCAACUCGACUACAUGAAGCUGGAAUCGCUAGUAAUCGUAGAUCAGCAUGCUACGGUGAAUACGUUCCCGGGUCU
rnacentral:rRNA from 1 species